AGAGUUUGAUCAUGGCUCAGAAUCAACGCUGGCGGCGUGCCUAACACAUGCAAGUCGAGCGAGAAAAGGGGGGCAACUCCCUGAGUAAAGCGGCGCACGGGUGAGUAACACGUGGGUAAUCUGCCCUGGAGUGUGGAAUAACACCGGGAAACCGGUGCUAAUACCGCAUACGAUCACGAUGUUUGCGGAUGUUGUGAUGAAAGGAGCAAUUCGCUCCAGGAGGAGCCCGCGGCUGAUUAGCUAGUUGGUGAGGUAACGGCUCACCAAGGCUACGAUCAGUAUCCGGUCUGAGAGGACGGCCGGACACACUGGAACUGAGACACGGUCCAGACUCCUACGGGAGGCAGCAGUGGGGAAUUUUUGGCAAUGGGGGAAACCCUGACCAAGCAACGCCGCGUGGGUGAUGAAGUCUCUUGGGACGUAAAACCCUUUCGACGGGGAAGAAACCGCAAGGUUGACGGUACCCGUAGAAGAAGCCCCGGCUAACUCCGUGCCAGCAGCCGCGGUAAUACGGGGGGGGCAAGCGUUGUUCGGAAUUACUGGGCGUAAAGGGUGCGUAGGCGGUUCUCUAAGUCGGAUGUGAAAACUCUGGGCUCAACCCAGAGCCUGCAUCCGAAACUGGAGGGCUAGAGUUCUGGAGGGGGUAGCGGAAUUCCUGGUGUAGCGGUGAAAUGCGUAGAUAUCAGGAGGAACACCGGUGGCGAAGGCGGCUACCUGGACAGAAACUGACGCUGAGGCACGAAAGCUAGGGGAGCAAACAGGAUUAGAUACCCUAGUAGUCC
rnacentral:rRNA from 1 species